AAAAUUGAGCAUGUCGUUGUUCUGUGGCUGAUGCAGCUCACUUCUAUAGAAGGCUUUCGAUGCGCCUCACCCACUUGCCCGAAAUAUUACUUCUCUCACUUGUAAUCGUGAAACCGGAAUUCACAGUGGCUGUCUUCCUUGCAACCCGGAGAAAUUGAGCGCACGACUACCAUGAACGCCUAUCCGAUAUUGGCCCUCCUAAUCCUGGGACAUCUGAGUCAAAUUCAAGCUGCUACUUUGAACAAGCCGUCAAAAAAUGGAAACGCCCUGAGAAAACAGCUGGUGGAAAAGAUUUUGGAUUCACUUGAGGACGAAUGUGAAGGCCGUGGCGAAGCUCUGAAGGCGCUGAAAAGAUCGCUUAGUGCAGUCAUCGACGAAACGGACGAACAGUCCAUCACUGUCGUGGCUAUUCUCAUUGCUGCUGGAAUCGCCGGUGGCAUCAUAGGUGGAGCCGCAGGCGGUGCUGCUACAUCUGCCUUGGGAAAAGCUAUCGGCAAAUAGGUCCGAUGAACCUUUGGAUCCCAACUAAUGUCAUGAGCUGGUUUGAUUUUACGUGAGUUCUGAAGGUUAAUAGACGACCACGUCUUAGCCUCUUCCACCAUAUUCUGUAACGAGGUGGGACUUUCAGUUCUCGAGGAAAGACGUGGACCAAUACAGAAGGCUGUGUAAUCUAGUAGAACCUCUCACAAAUCCACGUGACUUCAACUACCAUGUUUGCUUUCACACAACCAGCAUUCCUUCGCGCUGACUCGGCUGAUAAUAAUAAUGAGAAAAACUACUUUGACUUCGUAGUCACUUCGGGCAAAUGCACGAGCGAGCGUGUGAGUUUUUCGUUCUUACAACAUGUCACCACCUUCAUCUAUACUCCUGCUUCACUAAUUAAAAUAUUCAGUAUCGGCUG